CGGGUGAGUAACACGUGGAUAACCUACCUAUAAGACUGGGAUAACUUCGGGAAACCGGAGCUAAUACCGGAUAAUAUAUUGAACCGCAUGGUUCAAUGGUGAAAGACGGUUUUGCUGUCACUUAUAGAUGGAUCCGCGCCGCAUUAGCUAGUUGGUAAGGUAACGGCUUACCAAGGCAGCGAUGCGUAGCCGACCUGAGAGGGUGAUCGGCCACACUGGAACUGAGACACGGUCCAGACUCCUACGGGAGGCAGCAGCC
rnacentral:rRNA from 1 species